UACGUAGGGUGCGAGCGUUAAUCGGAAUUACUGGGCGUAAAGCGCGCGUAGGCGGCUUUGCAAGUCGGGUGUGAAAUCCCCAGGCUUAACCUGGGAACUGCAUUCGAGACUGCAUUGCUAGAGUAUGGGAGAGGGAAGUGGAAUUUCCGGUGUAGCGGUGAAAUGCGUAGAUAUCGGAAGGAACAUCAGUGGCGAAAGUGACUUCCUGGACCAAUACUGACGCUCAUGUGCGAAAGCGUGGGGAGCAAACAGG
rnacentral:rRNA from 1 species